rnacentral:tRNA from 1 species
UCCCCGAUAGUCUAGUGGUGAGGAUAUCUGCUUGUCAUUGAAGAUCCAACGAUUCGCAGGGGACCGGGGUUCAAUUCCCCGUCGAGGAG